AAUAUUGUUUUUAAAAAGGCCAAUUUUUUUAUCCGAUUAAUCGAUUAAUCGAUCCUCCACCACUCUAGCAUAAAGCACACACCGACAGUUAAUGCUGUGACAUGGCAAAAUAUAAAAAUUUUCAACAAGCAUGUAUUGUUCUUCAAAGCUAACAGUCAACACUGUAAAUAUUGACUUUCUCAUAUAACAUCCGUCGUGAGAAUUUGUCUCUAGUCAGUCUGACUGGCUGUCUGCUGCACAUGCACCGACUCAGGGUUUCCUGUCACUUCCUGUUUUGGUCUGCUGGGUUUGAGCGAGACUCAACAACUUCCUUCUCUGAACCUUAUCUUCACACAGAGCGAAACUCACAGCGCAGAUAAGGAUGGGGAAAUUAUUAAACACAGCGGAGGGAAGAUGGGAACCAAUUAGCCACCUGACUCCCAGAAAACACUUGGGCAGCCGUGUGGAGCCGAGAUGCAAAUGAAUCACCAGAGGAAGGUGGAAGUGGACCUGCCAGCAUCCUGGGAGAGGAGAAAUUAAUGAAGGAGACUGAGGAGGAAGAGGGGGAGGAGGAGGAGGAGGACUUCUGUAAAACAGGGAGAGAGUAAAGCAGGAAAUGAUGUAUGGCGAGUAAGGAGGAGCGGACUGAAGGACCCAGAAAGGUUAACGCAACGAGCAGCAGAAGGCAGAAACUAAAUCUGGACAAAUUCAACUGGAAAUCAGACAUCAAAAAACCUUCCUGCAGCUUUUGUUCACACAGAAACAAACGCGGUUUUAACUAAAAAUGCACUCAAAUGGUGUAGAAGGUCCGCCACAUCAAUUGGUGGCGCUGUAGCGCUGCCAGACAACGACAAUGUAGUGGUAAUGUAAAACUGAAAUCCCAGAUUUACAAUGACAUGGUUGCAAAAUAAAGAAUUGAUGAGUCUG